UGUAUAAAGAAUGUGUAUGUAAAAUUGUUAUUCAUUUACAUUACUAGAUUAUAUAUUCGACUCAGUUUAUGUAGAAAGUAUGCAAGCAGAUACAACCUGUAUCUGAAUGUGGUAGUGUUAUACGGCCGUAUAUAGAGAAUAGAAGAGGCAAAAUGCGGAGCCACCUUACACGACAUAACAAUUUUUUUAAGAGCAUAGUGGAAAGAAAAAUAAAAGAGGAAGGGGAAGACUAAGGAAUAACUACAUUGGACAGGUAAAAGAAACAAUAUGUGUCAUGUCUUAUAGGGAGGUUAAGGAUAUGGCCUGGGAUAGAACUGACAGACAAGAGGAAACUCCUAAAUGAAAAGAAGAAUACGGCCGUAUAACAUUUUCUACACACUAUCCUGCUAUGAAUUGACAAAAAUAAAAAUUGACGGUGUAUCUUUUGUCCUUUUUUUACUAAUUAUAUUUGCAUAAGAUAAAAGGAGGCAACCAUAUGA